rnacentral:rRNA from 1 species
UACAGAGGUCCCGAGCGUUGUUCGGAAUCACUGGGCGUAAAGGGUGCGUAGGCGGUUCUGAAAGUCUGAUGUGAAAUCUCCGGGCCCAACCCGGAAAUGGCAUUAGAAACUACAGGGCUAGAGGCUUGGAGGGGGAACUGGAAUUCUCGGUGUAGCAGUGAAAUGCGUAGAGAUCGAGAGGAACACCAGUGGCGAAGGCGAGUUCCUGGACAAGUCCUGACGCUGAGGCACGAAAGCCAGGGGAGCAAACAGG